GUUAGUAACAGGAGUUACAAAAGAUGCUUAACCUCUAUCAGGUUAUGUGACUCAUCCAUGGCUACCCCGGCCUGGACUCCCCUCCGAGACUGGGGCCUGCAUACCCUACUGCCCACUUCACAUUUCCUCUGAGAUACACAGAGCAGCUCAAUUUCCACACUUCAAAACCACACUUGGGGUUUCCCAUGGAAGCCAGUGGAUGUCCAGCUCAUUCUGUCUCUGAAGCCCAGGACCCAGUUCCAGAGGGUAAAA
rnacentral:lncRNA from 1 species